rnacentral:rRNA from 1 species
UUGGGCGUAAAGAGCUCGUAGGCGGUUUGUCGCGUCUGCUGUGAAAACUGGGGCUCAACCCCCAGCCUGCAGUGGGUACGGGCAGACUAGAGUGCGGUAGGGGAGAUUGGAAUCCUGGUGUAGCGGUGGAAUGCGCAGAUAUCAGGAGGAACACCGAUGGCGAAGGCAGAUCUUGGGCCGUAACUGACGCUGAGGAGCGAAAGGGUGGGGAGCAAACAGGCUUAGAUACCCUGUAGUCCACCCCGUAAACGUUGGGAACUAGUUGUGGGGUCCAUUCCACGGAUUCCGUGACGAGCUAACGCAUUAAGUUCCCCGCCUGGGGAGUACGGCCGCAAGGCUAAAACUCAAAGGAAUGACGGGGACCCGCACAAGCGGCGGAGCAUGCGGAUUAAUUCGAUGCAACGCGAAGAACCUACCAAGGCUUGACAUAUACGAGAACGCUGCAGAAAUGUAGAACUCUUUGGACACUCGUAACAGGUGGUGCAUGGUUGUCGUCAGCUCGUGUCGUGAGAUGUUGGGUUAAGUCCCGCAACAGCGCAACCCUCGUUCUAUGUUGCCAGCACGUAAUGGUGGGAACUCAUGGGAUACUGCCGGGUCAACUCGGAGGAAGGUGGGGAUGACGUCAAAUCAUCAUGCCCCUUAUGUCUUGGGCUCACGCAUGCUACAAUGGCCGGUACAAAGGGCUGCAAUACCGUAAGGUGGAGCGAAUCCCAAAAGCCGGUCCCAGUUCGGAUUGAGGUCUGCAACUCGACCUCAUGAAGUCGGAGUCGCUAUAAUCGCAGAUCAGCAACGCUGCGGUGAAUACGUUCCCGGGUCUUGCACUCACCGCCCGU